AUUGAACGCUGGCGGCAGGCCUAACACAUGCCAGUCGAACGGUAACAGGAAGCAGCUUGCUGCUUUGCUGACGAGUGGCGGACGGGUGAGUAAUGUCUGGGAAACUGCCCGAUGGAGGGGGAUAACUACUGGAAACGGUAGCUAAUACCGCAUAACGUCGCAAGACCAAAGAGGGGGACCUUAGGGCCUCUUGCCAUCGGAUGUGCCCAGGUGGGAUUAGCUAGUAGGUGGGGUAACGGCUCACCUAGGCGACGAUCCCUAGCUGGUCUGAGAGGAUGACCAGCCACACUGGAACUGAGACACGGUCCAGACUCCUACGGGAGGCAGCAGUGGGGAAUAUUGCACAAUGGGCGCAAGCCUGAUGCAGCCAUGCCGCGUGUAUGAAGAAGGCCUUCGGGUUGUAAAGUACUUUCAGCGGGGAGGAAGGGAGUAAAGUUAAUACCUUUGCUCAUUGACGUUACCCGCAGAAGAAGCACCGGCUAACUCCGUG
rnacentral:rRNA from 1 species